AUAAUGCAGUUGUCACGUCGGCCAUCUUUGCUCCAAACCCAAGUUUGAUGUUGUCUUUGGAUGUGCAAUCUGAGAAAUCAGAAGGGAAUGAUAAAGGCGAAGAUGCUGAAGUUUUGGAUACCAUGCCCUCUGGUAUUAUGAAGACAGAUAACACAGAAGUUCUUCUCUCUGCUGACUUCACUGGAGCAAUCAAAGUGUUUAUUAACAAAAGGAAAAAUGUAUCUUAAUUUGAAAUGACAUUUAAAAUAAACAUAUCAGUAAGUUUAUAUAUGUAUCAGAACUGAAAAAAAUACUAUAAUGUUUCAGGCUAACAUCCUUUUUUUAAUUUUUAUUGGAAGUUGUUCAAAUAUAAUAUAUUUUUCGAGAGGCAGUGUUAAUGAUCUAGUAAACCCUGGACUGAUAGACUAGAAAGGAAUGUGGCUAGAAUAACAUUGCCAAACAUUAGGCUUUAUGUUUUGUUAUGUUUGUGUUUUUGUUAUAUAAUUGUGAACCUGCACAGGUUUAUGCAUGAAAAAUAUAUUAAUAUAUUAAUCACAUGUGUGUGCCUUUUGGUUACAUGCACUAAAUCUAACAGAGUUAAAUUAUUUCAGUGACUCUUUUGGCCUCUUAUUUGGGAGGAGUCUUGUUUGUAGCUUAAACAAUUUCUUUUGCACAAAAUUUCAUUUAUAAGGAAAGUGGUGUCUUUUGACUGAGUUAUUGUUUUGAAAAUGUUAUAUAGGUUUUCAGUAGGUCAACAACCAUGUGUAAAUGGUUUUUAUAAAUUUCUCAAUUUGGGGACAAGAUUUUUUUUUUGUGGUCUAAAUUGUGGACUUAAGAUUCUUUUCUUUGUAUGUGUAUAUAUAAUUUCCUUUUUUUUCCACACUGGAGCACAAUGUUUCUAUGUAAAGAAUUCUUUUCAUUCUUUAUCCAUGAGCACCAGGCUUUGCUCACUUAAAAUUAAGCCGCAUUAAGGAGUGAGUCUUCUUUUUUACAAUAAUGUAAAAAUGAACUGUUUACAUUUUUUUAAAGCAUUGUAGUUUUAAAAAUUAAGCUGUUUUGUUUUGUGUUGUUGAAUUUGAAAGCUUCUGUAAAUAUUGAUAUAAUGUACCAAUGAAAUAACAUCUGGGGCAAUGGAACCCUGAUCAUGUUGUUGAUGGUUAGCAUAUGAUUCUGAAAGUUAAAUAUGUAUUAUUAAAACUUGGUCGCCAACACUUGUU